rnacentral:lncRNA from 1 species
GGAGCAGAAGGUGAGAUACGUACAAAAGGGGGAACUUUCAAUUUGUGAGCUGAUCCAUCAUAAAUCCAUCAUAAAUAAAAGGAUUUUGGGGUUUUGACCCUUUUAGGCUGGUGGACGGCAAAGCAAACCGGUGAAAACUGUUUUGACUAUAUACCUCUCAUUCGGGAAUCAUAGAAGGAUAACCCGAAGAUCCAAGAUUCCGGUGGCGAGUACAACUCAACCUUUAGUUUCUUCAUUUACGCAUAAAGGCUGUAUGUAUCUUUUGACAAGUGAACCAGCAGUGCCAGUUCGAGGAUCUAUAACAGUACCAGCAGCGGUUAAUGAUGGAACGAAGACAAGAAACAUAACGGAAACAGACAUGUAACGAAUACAGCCAUAAAUCAAAAUGUCGACCAACAUGGCAUAAAGGCGAUGGCCACCCACCUAAAUACAGAGCCGGCUCAAGCUUUUCCGAAGCCCAAAGCGGAUAAUAAAAAUCGGGGCCUUUUUCAUUAAAAAAAAAAUAACAUUAUGUGUUUUUAAUCCUAGAUUGUGAAGGUAAAGAAAACCCUGUAAUCUCCUGUAUAUGCCUUUAUUUUUUUUAUAGUAGAAAACUACCUAUAGUUGUUAUAAAUAUAAACUAUAUGAGGGCCUAGCCUUUUUAGUAAUUUUUUAAACUACAUGUUUCUCAAGUGGACAUGAAAACAGAAUUAACAAAAACCAAAUAAAACGAUCUAAGUGGGAAUUGAUCUCGUGUCAGCUGCCUAUAAAAUGGAAGCAUUACCACUAAUAUACAAGUAAGUUAUGUCUUACAAUAGCCAGAAUAUUCUUAAUAUCUAGAUUAUAAAAAUUUAUAUAUUGCUCUUUUAAAUGGAGCCCUCAAAUUUUGUAGGCCCUAGGCCUAAGCCUAGCUUAAACACAGUGUUGGGCCGGCCUUGCCUAAAUACGAUUAAAAAUACAAAUGCUUAAUUGGUAACUAAUUAUUUUGUAGUUAUCCCAAGGCAAAAUCUACACCGCCGUAAGCUUCUCUUCCACUGAUUGCGGAAUUCAAUAAGCUUUCAAUGCUCUCACAUAACCAUUCCUCCAUCAAUGGUAAGCACCUGCAAAUGUGUAUAUUGUUUUCAUAGGAAAAUGUUAACCACCAACAGAAAACGCCUACUUAUGUAAGUAAACUACUUUAUUUUACUUUACUGAUGGUUUCUUAAACACCGAGCACCUAAACAUGAGCGGAAUUUGAGGGGGCCGGGAGAAGUACAUUGUUAUCCCCUCUGAUCCCGCCACUAAACCUCAACAUGAAUAUCAAUGGAUAAUCAAUCAGUAACCACCAACCACCGGUUAGCACACAACACUUUUUUAAACAAUAAUUAGUUUUAUAAAUUUUCUUUUCAGAAUAUGGUGAUACAUGUCAUCUUGCAGAAAUGGGAUAUUGGCUUACGUUUAUGCCUGUAAAUGAACCUAAUGAACACAAACAGAGGCAUGUUCGUGUUCGUUCAUUUAACUCUAACCGAACACGAACAUAUAAUCGAACACUUUUUUUUGUUCAUGUUCGUUUAUUAAGAAAAUGGGCAUGUUCGUGUUCUUUUAUGUUCGUUCGUUUAAAACCUAAACAAACAGUUCACGAACGUAAACGAACAUAAACAAACAAACUUAAAUGAACAUAAUUUAACAAAAAUAAACAACACAAAUGAACAUAACUGACUAACCAUAAACGAACAUAAAAUAUUUUUUUAUAUAAAUUAGUGAUUAAUUACGAUAAAUACCAUUGAAAACCCAUUUUUAUUACUAGAAAACCCAAUUACCAAUUAGUUGUAUUUAUAUAAGUAGUUAGAAAGUUAGAAAGUUCCUUUUAUAUUUAAUAUUUAUAUAAAUAUAACUACUUAUGUAUUUAAUUGAAAUGAACAAACAUAAACGAAUGAACAAAAGCAAAUGUAAAUAAACGAACAUAAACAGACGUUCAAAAACAUAAAUGAAUGAACAAAAUGGGUGUUCAUGUUCGUUCGUUUAAUUAGUUUAAUUAAAUGAACAGAAAAUUGUGUUCAUGUCUGUUCGUUAAUUACAUAAACGAACUUCCCACCGAACACACGAACAUUUUCAGGUCCUUUACAGGCCUGGUUCUUUCUGGUUCUUAUAUCUAGCAUUAAACGGUUCCGGUUUGAUCCUCACUAGUGCCGGUUUUAAACCGUUACACAUUCCUAAUUUUUAUAGAAGUUUUAUAGUUUAAUUUUUUUUUCUUCAAACUCUAGACAUCAAUUGUAUUAUCUGAACUAAACAAUUAUGAAGAUGCAUAUGUUGCAUUUAUACAUUUAGUUGUUUAGGGAAGGUUCAUUUGAGAAGAAAAUUUAAUUGAGAAGAAAAAGAACAAAGUGUAAUUUUGUAAAACAUUAAAUAGUUUUUUUCACUUAUCUCAUUUAUUAUCAUUUUUGACUAAUUAAUUAGUCAUAAAGACUAUUAUCCUCCACACUAAUUUUUUUGCCUACACACAUCAAAAGUUAACCUAUAUAUUUCUAAAUUCAUCUUAUACGUUGAAAUUUAUCCUACACAACUCGUAAUUUAUCCUACACUUUAAAUUAUUUUAUUUUAUUUUUUUGAAAAAAAAAUAUAUUUUGAAGAUAAGUUCCAAAAAAUUUAAUGUAUUAGCUAUUAAAGAUGAAGACUACAAAUUAAUGACCUAUGUAGAUUUACCAAUGUACCCUUAUAGUAAUAUUAAAUAUUUAUAUUAAAUGAAGUAAAAUAAAGCAUUCUUAUUGGUUGAAAUUUGUUCUCUUUUUUCUUCUUACAAAAUAUUUCUUCUUAUUUGAACUCUCCACUAGUUGUUUAUAGGAGAUUAUUUGAUGGAAACUAUACUAAUUUAUACGUUACUUUAUUGCAUGAUAAAAGUAUAACCAUCUAUGUUUUUAGAAGCUAUAUCAUAUAAAAUAAAAAUAGUUCUAGAUUUUAUAUUUACAAAAGUAUUAAGUGUUACAUAAAUUCAAGUCAUGAAUGGGGUUAAACAUGACAAGACUAUAUUUAACUAUGUGUUAACUACCCCACACUAUAAACAAAAGUAUUAAGUGUUACAUAAAUUCAAGUCAUGAAUGGGGUUAAACAUGACAAGACUAUAUUUAACUAUGUGUUAACUACCCCACACUAUAAAAAGGGAUAAAUAUGAGAUGCAAGUUUAACUUCAGUCUCAUGACACGAACCCUUUAUUGUUCCAAAUGAAUUGUCUUGCUUAAAAAAGUGUUCAUAUUAAUUGUAUUAGUAAAAGCUAUGAUAGUACAUACCAUUAAACACAUGUUGUGUACUUAAAAAUCUUGUUUAAGACGAGUCCAACCCUUCUAGCUAGUGAUGAGCAAUUUGGUACAAUUACCGAAAAAUACUUGUACUGUAACGAAUGAAUUUAUGUAUCAAUUCGGUAUCCAUAUUUGGCAUUUUUCGGGAUCGGUACUUUCGGUUUGGUAUGGUAUGGUAUGAUACGGUACAGUAAUUUACGGACUUUUUUACCUUCGAAUACGAUACCCUACCGAGCACAUUUGGUACCGGUACUCGUACCCAUUUUUGAUGACUUUCAGGAUCGGUACUUUCGGUACUGGUACAAUACCGAUCUCAUCCAUACUUCUAGCGUUUGGAUGGCCUUAGCCUAUAGCAUUGAACAGAUGACUCCAAAUGCCACCAACAUUGGUCAACGUCACCGUCACCGGCAACUCAAUUCCUCCCAGCAUUGUUUGAAGUAAAAUUCAACUUUAACCACUCAAC